rnacentral:rRNA from 1 species
AAACCUUUACACUGCACGACAGUGCGAUAGGGGGAUUCCGAGUGCGAGGGCAUACAGUCCUCGCUUUUCUGGACCGUAAGGAGGUCCAAGAAUAAGGGCUGGGCAAGACCGGUGCCAGCCGCCGCGGUAAUACCGGCAGCCCGAGUGAUGGCCGAUAUUAUUGGGCCUAAAGCGUCCGUAGCUGGCCAGACAAGUCCGUUGGGAAAUCCACGCGCUCAACGCGUGGGCGUCCAGCGGAAACUGCCUGGCUUGGGGCCGGAGGACUCGAGGGGUACGUCCGGGGUAGGAGUGAAAUCCCGUAAUCCUGGACGGACCACCGGUGGCGAAAGCGCCUCGAGAGGACGGACCCGACAGUGAGGGACGAAAGCCAGGGUCUCGAACCGGAUUAGAUACCC